CGCCUUCAGAUUCAAUAUUGGAGGUCUGGUCUGCCCAGUGUAAUUAAUUAACGGCCGCGGUAUUCUGACUGUGCAAAGGUAGCAUAAUCACUUGCCCUUUAAAUGGGGGAAUGUAUGAAUGAUUAGACGAGGUUUUUACUGUCUCUUCCUUAUAAAUUGAGAUUACAAUACUUGUGAAAAUGCGGGUAAGGUAAUAAAGGACGAGAAGACCCUGUUGAGCUUUUAAGCUAAACUAUAGUACAGGUUAAGUUAAGUAAUAAUUUGCAAUUAAAACGAGUAAUUUUUUGUAGGCUUUUUGGCUGGGGUGGCAAGCAAAGAUAUUAAGCUUUGUUGUAGUAUACAUUUUGUAUUUCUAGAUAAUAUGUAUCUAUAAAUAACUAAAUUGAUCCGUUAAAAUAGAACGAUUAAAAGAAUAAGUUACCACAGGGAUAACAGCGUAAUUCUUUUUGAGAGCUCGAAUUGACAAAGGAGUUUGCGACCUCGAUGUUGGAUCAAGAUUCCUAGCGGUGUAGCAGCUGUUACGGGUUUGCCUGUUCGGCGAUUAAUAUCU
rnacentral:rRNA from 1 species